UAGAAAAAUGACUUUUGGAUAAGGGAUUCCACUACUGGUAUGUGAAUACCAGUAGUGAAACACAUUUGACCAAAUGAUUCUACUACUGAUAUUUGAAUAACAGUAGUGAAAAGUUCAUAGACAAGGGAUUUCACUACUGUUUUUCUUAAAUCAGUAGUGAAAAGUAGACACGGUGGCAAUGUUGUAAUUACGUUGAAAUUUGUUUUAAUUGGAUUUCACUACUGAUUUGGUCUUCAACGGUAGUUAAAUCCCUUAACUUAAAAUGUAUACCCUUUCCUUCUCAUUCUCUCGUACGCGAAAUCUUUCUCACUUUCCCAAUUUCACUCUUUGCCCCGUGAAAUUCCUCACUCUUCAACAUGCUUCAUCCACUGCUUCUUCUACCCUAACCUCUUUCUCACUCAAAAAUCCUUCAAAUCUGCUUCUUCUACCCUAACCUCUUCGCGAUUGAAACCCUAACUCAUUGCCAAAUCGUGUUAUGUUCUGAAUCUCACUAAUCUCUCUCGUGUUCGUGUAGUGUUCUUCGUUUUCACGAUUGAACGAAGAGGUUUUGAGAGUAGUAGCAGGUUCUUCGAUCUUUACUUCCUAGGUUUGGGUCUUAAAAAGAUUUAACCUAUGUUUUGUUCCUUUGUUUGUGUUUCUGAGAUCUAGGUUAUGAAGAAACAGGAGAGAGAUUCUAGAUCUCGAAAUGAAUUUCAUUGAAUAUCUAAGGAUUGUUGGUUAUAAUGCAGUUAAUGAAUCCCUUUUAUAUGGGUUUCACUAUGGGUUUUGAAGAUUUUCACUGGAGGUUUUGGCAAUGGUUGUGAUGAUAUUUGGGGUGUGGUUGAGCACUCGUCAUGAUGCCUGUGGGAAGUCUCUAACUAUACCUAUGCUAAGCAUUGGAGCUGUUAUUUUCUUAAUAUUCAUAGUUGGUUUUUUGGGUACCAUGAAAAGAAGCUCCAUAUUGCUAUGGGUUGUAUCCUUGUCAAAUUUUAUAGAGAAUAAUUUUUUGACAUCAAAAUUUGAGGUCAAAUUCAGUGUCCUUAAAUUUUUUGUGUAGUUUUGAAAUGUGUGUAAGUUGUAGAACAUCUUUGUAAGAAAGAGAUAGAGGUAAACACAUACGGUGUCAUAUACGAUGUCUCUAUAUUGAUGUUCAAAUAACACGACUGAUUUUGGAUUAAGGGAAUCCUUCAGGACUGAUAUCCCUUUCAUGCCAGCACAAAUCUGAUACUGCCAUUCAAGCAUGUCUGCAGGGGCGUGAGUGGAUGUAAUGUGUUCCAAGCAUUGUUCUGUAGAGCCAAUGUGUCCUACGCAACGAAAAUCGAUCACAAGAUGAAAUAAAUAUCAAAGUCACUUGCAUAAGGUACAAAGAGUUGUUCACAAAACUCAUUGCUAAAAAGUGAUUGUUGGGUUGUCUUAACAGAUAACAAGAAGAAAGCUUUAUGCAGCCAAAGUUCAUGGAUCUUGCAAGUAAUCCUCUCUCAAAGAAUGAUUAUACAACUAUUCCAGAGGAUUAUCCUUUAGUAUGGGUUUUCAAUGACGAUGAUCCAGAAAACUGGCAUGUUCAGGUUGGCAAAAGGAAAACUUAGUUUUUGA